rnacentral:rRNA from 1 species
AUUGAACGCUGGCGGCAUGCUUUACACAUGCAAGUCGAACGGCAGCACGGGGCAACCUGGUGGCGAGUGGCGAACGGGUGAGUAAUGCAUCGGAACGUACCUUUCAGUGGGGGAUAACGUAGCGAAAGUUACGCUAAUACCGCAUAUUCUGUGAGCAGGAAAGCAGGGGAUCGCAAGACCUUGCGCUGAUUGAGCGGCCGAUGUCAGAUUGGCUAGUUGGUGAGGUAAAGGCUCACCAAGGCGACGAUCUGUAGCGGGUCUGAGAGGAUGAUCCGCCACACUGGCACUGAGACACGGUCCAGACUCCUACGGGAGGCAGCAGUGGGGAAUUUUGGACAAUGGGGGCAACCCUGAUCCAGCCAUGCCGCGUGAGUGAAGAAGGCCUUCGGGUUGUAAAGCUCUUUCGGCCGGGAAGAAAUCGCACGGGCUAAUACCCUGUGUGGAUGACGGUACCGGAAUAAGAAGCACCGGCAAACUACGUGCCAGCCGCCGCGGUAAGAC